rnacentral:rRNA from 1 species
UGGGGAAUAUUGCACAAUGGAGGGAACUCUGAUGCAGCGACGCCGCGUGAACGAAGAAGGCUUUCGAGUCGUAAAGUUCUUUUAUAUGGGAAGAUAAUGACGGUACCAUAAGAAGAAGCCCCGGCUAACUACGUGCCAGCAGCCGCGGUAAUACGUAGGGGGCUAGCGUUGUCCGGAAUCACUGGGCGUAAAGGGUUCGCAGGCGGAAAUGCAAGUCAGGUGUAAAAGGCAGUAGCUUAACUACUGUAAGCAUUUGAAACUGCAUAUCUUGAGAAGAGUAGAGGUAAGUGGAACUUUUAGUGUAGCGGUGAAAUGCGUAGAUAUUAAAAAGAAUACCGGUGGCGAAGGCGACUUACUGGGCUCAUUCUGACGCUGAGGAACGAAAGCGUGGGUAGCAAACAGG